GAAAUCUGGCGGUCUCAGGCCGUCCGAGUUGUAAUCUAGAGAGGUGUUUUCCGUGCCGGACCGUGUACAAGUCCCUUGGAACAGGGCGUCAUAGAGGGUGAGAAUCCCGUCCAUGACACGGACUACCGGUGCUCUGUGAUACACCUUCAAAGAGUCGAGUUGUUUGGGAAUGCAGCUCAAAAUGGGUGGUAAAUUCCAUCUAAAGCUAAAUACAGGCGAGAGACCGAUAGCGAACAAGUACCGUGAGGGAAAGAUGAAAAGAACUUUGGAAAGAGAGUUAAACAGUACGUGAAAUUGUUGAAAGGGAAACGCUUGAAGUCAGUCGCGUCUGCCAGGACUCAGCCUUGCUUCUGCUUGGUGCACUUCUUGGUGGAUGGGCCAGCAUCGAUUUUGGCCGCCGGAAAAGGGCGGGAGGAAUGUGGCAGCUUUUGCUGUGUUAUAGCCUUCCGUCGUACACGGUGGUCGGGAUCGAGGACUGCAGCACGCCUUUGGUCGGGGUUCGCCCACGCCACGUGCUUAGGAUGCUGGCGUAAUGGCUUUAAACGACCCGUCUUGAAACACGGACCAAGGAGUCUAACAUGCCUGCGAGUGUUUGGGUGCAAAACCCAGGCGCGUAAUGAAAGUGAAAAGUUGGGACUCUUUAGUGAGGCACCGACGCCCGACCCUGAAGUCUUCUGACGGGUUUGAGGCAGAGCAUGUAUGUUGGGACCCGAAAGAUGGUGAACUAUGCCUGAAUAGGGUGAAGCCAGAGGAAACUCUGGUGGAGGCUCGUAGCGAUUCUGACGUGCAAAUCGAUCGUCAAAUUUGGGUAUAGGGGCGAAAGACUAAUCGAACCAUCUAGUAGCUGGUUCCUGCCGAAGUUUCCCUCAGGAUAGCAGAAACUCACAUCAGUUUUAUGUGGUAAAGCGAAUGAUUAGAGGCCUUGGGGUUGAAACAACCUUAACCUAUUCUCAAACUUUAAAUAUGUAAGAUCGGACCGUCACUUGAUUGGACCGUCUGGCGAAUGAGAGUUUCUAGUGGGCCAUUUUUGGUAAGCAGAACUGGCGAUGCGGGAUGAACCGAU
rnacentral:rRNA from 1 species